UUGCCUCGCUGGCUCAGAGCUCACAGUCUAAAUAGGACACCUUACCCAGAGCCACCUAACUAAAUACAAACUGUAACCUAUCAGGUGCUCGGGAGAGGUUCACAAGGCUGUGGAGACCUACACUGGGGGGUUUGACCCUGUCAGGGAAGGCGACCUUGAGGAGGUGAUGACUGAGUAGAAAGCCGCAGGAGGAAUAGGUGUUAACUUGGUUGAAGAGGGAAAGGAAGUGCAUUCCGUGCAGAGGGAACAGCAUGUGCAAAGUCCUGGAGUCAGCAGGACUGAGAGAUGGUUAAUGUGGCCUGAUCACAGACAAAAGGGAUGUGGUGGGAUGCAGCUAGAGAGGUAGGUAGGUGUAGAGCUCCAAAGCUUAGUGGGGCUGUAUAUGAUCUAGGCUCCUCUCCUGCCUGUAUGUCCAUCCAUCCGUCUGUCCGUGCGUUCCUGCAUCCUACCCAACUACCUACCCAGGUCAUUCAUCACCUUCUCACUCAUUUGUUUACUGAAUAAGGGAACAUCUUUUUGUGCUGGGAUCUGAGGGGAAUAUGGAGAGGCAGAGUGCCCUCAAGGAGCUCCCAGACCAGGGAGGGGAGAUAGAGUCUCAACUCACUGUGAUGCGGCAGGUCUAUCUCUACAAGAUGCUUAAAUAAUAAAAGCCCUAGAGGCUGUCUCCCAUGGUUCGAGCUUCCUAAGGCUAGGCAACAUCUCCCCUCCAUGGGGAUCUUCCAGCUACAUGGUUCCUCCUGACAUCCAGUCUCAUUCCUUUGUGCUACAAAGGUAGCCCACUUACCACCCCGGGGUGGGGAGUGUUUCUGAUGUUUGUUUUCACUGACCCUUCUGGUGGGUCUCAGAGGUCUCUUAGUCUCAGGAGAACACAGGGAAACAUGGCCAGGUCUCCCUCAGAUAUCGGAAUCCAGCUCCAGACACUUCCUUUUCUGGGCAUGAAAAUAGGACAGAAACCCUGGGUGUCCCUCAAUCCUAGCCGUGCAUUUCUACCCUCCACUCCUCCUUGAACUACUUGUCCUCUGCUUGUGACAUCACAAUGGUCUCUAUGGCAACUGACUGUGAGGUCACCAAUCCUUAAAGCAACAGAAUCUGUGGGUCUGGACAAUGGUCUGGAGGAGAGAGGGUGAAUGCAAAAUGUGGGUCCGAGAGGGAAACCAUCUCCUCCUGGGAAAGGGCCACCCAAGACCUUUGGGAGGGGGGAGGGUUCCACUUCGAGCCCCUUUGCAGAGAGGGGUAAAAACAGUUUCUUGGUCUUGUCCCUCACUGGAAAGCUUUUAAACUGACACUGAGCUUCUCCAAAAUUGCCCACGAAGGGAGAACUUCUUAUAAUCUGGCUCAGACGGGCUGCAGAAAUUGAUGGGGCUGCUGAGCAGCAUCCUGGAAUCAUUGACUUGGCCCCAUGUACCACUGGGAAGCGGAGGUGGGAGUGUGGUUCUGGUCUCAGCCCCACUGACUCAGAGGGUCUGGCCAAGACCUGACGUAUGUUUGAGCCUUGAUUUCCCCCUCAGGGAAGGAGUGAAGGUCCUAAGGAGCCUUGUUUCCUGACGUAGAGGAUAAGCAACAGAUUGGCUUAAGGCUGUUGGGCCUGCCCUCUGUCUUCUCAACCUAUGAGAUAGAUGAUAUUACCCGUCUUCAAAAUGAGGAAAGAGAGAGAGAGCCAAGGAACACAGCCCAAGGUCACACAGCCGCUGAGCCUGGAUCCAGUGCAGCCCCAGUGCAGAAUGCAAAUUCUCCCCCCACCGGCCUCAGCCAUCUGCACUCCCCUCUGCUGAAAUGAAGCUGUGAAGGCCGCUGCCACAGCCCAGCCGAAGCCACCGCCGACUCCCUUGCUUAUUUCAAGUCCUCCUAAAGCUUGUUGAGUUCUUAACUUAUUAAAGAUAAG